CAGACAGCCACCCAGUUUUGUGCUUGAAACCCAGAGUCUGGUGGUGUCAGCACAUAAUGGAAUCUCCUGUUGUGAGGAUGGCGAAAACCGUGGGAAAAGUAUAGUAUCUGGCCUGGAUAGCACAGUCCCUCAUGGCUUCCCUUGGCUUAGGGAGGAGAUCCCCAGCUCCUUGCACUUCCUGGGUGAUUCUACACCCUACCCUGCUUCUGCUUGCCCUCCGCGGGCUGUAAUCACUGCCUAACCAGUCCCAGUGAGAUGAACUGCGUAUCUCAGUUGGAAAUAUAGAAAUCCCCCAACUUCUGCAUUGGUCUCGCUGGGAGCUGCAGACCAGAGCUCUUCCUAUUUGGCCAUCUUGCCAGAUCUCCAUAUUUUUGUAUAUAUACACAUAUAUAUUCUGAAAGGUCACGGGCUAUACAUAAAAUGAAGUAUACUUAUAUAUAUGUGCAAACAUACAUACAUACAAAUUAUACCUGUGUACAUGUAUAAAGUAUGUAUAUAUGCAUAAGCAUAUUUAUAUGUGCUGCAAUUUAAUUUUUUUCCUAGACAAAAUGGGAUCUGGAUUGAUUAUUUGAUUCAAAUAAUUUAUUGGUCUAGUCUUUUGUCAAUACUGAAUUUAGGGUGGAGCAAUCAUGGUAUAAUCUUGGAAAAGGAAACUGGGACCUUAGCAGACAUCAAACCUGCCAGUACCAUGACCUGCAGUUCUCAGCCUCCAGAACUGUGAGAAAUAAAUUUCUGUUAUCAAUUAGCAAAUAUGUGUAAUUCUGCUAUAGUAACAUAAGGUGACUAAGGACAAAUUGGACAGUUUUCAUUCACUGGGCCUCAAUGGGAGUGCAAUCUUAAGGGAAGAGCUAGUUUCCAGCAGCAGUAAGGAUGUCAGUGAGACAUUUAGUGAAGAAGCAGAAGUGGUAGGAAAACCUAUUUAGUAUAAGUCUUUGGACAAAUCUAAAUUACAGUUUGAUCAUUGUUUCCUCAAAAAUACUUAUACUGUCAUGUACUACCCCCACCUUGCCUUUGCCAAUAAGACAAAGAAAGCUCUUGGCAUUUAGGUAGAGAGCACCCUUCCUACUCUAAUCUAUCCAUUGGUGCUUAGUAUGCAAUAAGGAAGCAAAAGGGUAGCAUUUAAAACCUCACCUCAGUAUACUUGAAUUGUCUAAGAUGCCUGGAAGAACGGCGAGACGGUGUUUCUGCUAGCAAGUCUUGACAAUGGCAGCAUGAGCAAUGAGUUUCUACCUCAUCGGGUUGCCCCCAAGAGGAAGUGCUGUAUUUCACUUUUGUGACACUAACUGGGUUUUCCUGUGAUUCUAAGUACUUAUCUCUAAGUCUGCCUCACCAACCCAACAUGCUUAAAAUUCAAAUCUAUAUUUUACAAAAUUAGGCCUAUGAGCUUGCACUAAUUCAAGCAUUGUACUACUGACCAUCUUAAAGUAAUUUCACUGCUAACUACGGGAGGAGAUACACACAUUUAGAUUCUUCUAGAAUUUUUUCAGUUACGAGAAAUGGUAGUAAGAAAUUUGUAAGUUUGGUCAGGGAAAGGAAUCUCAAAGCAUUACACAAAUAACAAUGUAGGAAAAGAUAGAAGGGUGGAUGAUCUUUUAUAUUGGAUGAUGAAGAAUGAUAAUGAGGAUAUGAGGCAUGGUGAGUAUACCCAGACAAGAUUAGAGAAAUAACGAACCCCUGCAAUCUCCUUGUAUGUAAGAGUUCCUUCAUCUAUGGAUGCUGAGGACAUUGUACGUACAUGUCUGAUUCGUGGCCCAGCUCUGAGAGGUGACUGACUCUGACUCUGAAAUAAGGCUGAAUUAGGAUAGUGGAAAGAGAAAGGAGAUGUCAAAGACAUGAAGCCCUGAGGAAGUACAUCAAGCACAGCGACCACAAGCACUCAUGGUGCAAGUUCCUAGCAUCAUUAUUUAGAACAUGCCCUUACACCUUUGAAAUAUCUCAGUUGUUAUAAUUAACUAUCAGUCUCCCUCAUUAACUGCCAACAUAUUUGGUAAGAAAGUUUCUAUUUCCCAUAAAUGUAAAAAAAUUAAAUAUUUUAGACACUGUUCUCAUAAGUAAUUAUAACUGUAUUAAAUACCAUGCAGACCCUGACCUUUAUUGUUCUUUUCUAAUAGAGCAACAGAUUUUUACUCUGAAACAUUAACCUCCAAAGUUUUAUGUACAUAAAUUGGUCUGCUGAAAGGUUUUGAGAUUUGGACUUUGUUUUCCCAAAUUGUUCAAUUGGAAAAAAAAUUGAAAAAUUUGGAAAAUUCAAUUGACUUGUUCAAACAGUGAGGGUAUAUGUGAAAGUGUGAUACUAUCUUAAAUCUGUGAACUUUAUGUUCAGAAAGGGUUAAAAGUUAAUGAUCACUACACACGUUACUCGUUUUAUGACUUUACCAAGUUUCCACUCUGAAUCUUAGCUGUCACUUUUGCUUCUUUAUUAAACUCUGCCUCAAAUUACGCACUUUGAGUAUGCCAUCUAUUUCUUUCUGGCAAACUGACUUUUUGCCUGUAUGACCAUAAUAAUUUUUUAAAACCUGCAAAAUUUAAAACUUGUCACUCUUAUUCCUAGAAAAAUACUAAAUAUUGUUUUUCUGCCUGUUACACCUGUGAGUUAAAUAUAGGAAAAAAUGUUGUAGAAAUCAUGAAUUUGCAUAUUCUCACACAUUAACAUUGCACGUAAUGAUUCCUGAAUCCAAUGAU
rnacentral:lncRNA from 1 species